AAAAAAGAGUGUGGAUGCCCCUCCCUUGUUGCCGUGAGUUGAGGAAAAAGAAAGGAGAAAAAUUUUGUUGUUCAUCCUUUCUCAUUUUGUUACAAUUGCCAUGACUUGAGAAGAAGAAAAAAAAAGUGUCCAUUCUCUCAUUUUUCUUUGCAUGGCCGAAUGUACUAAGAAGAAAGGGGGGGAAGCUUGAGAAAAUCAGCCAUGGGAGCUUACUAGACUAAGGUGUUUUGAUACAAGAAGCUCAAGAAGCUAGAGGGGGAGAAUCAAGCAAAA